rnacentral:rRNA from 1 species
CCUACGGGUGGCAGCAGUGAGGAAUAUUGGUCAAUGGGCGCUAGCCUGAACCAGCCAAGUAGCGUGAAGGAUGACUGCCCUCUGGGUUGUAAACUUCUUUUAUAUGGGAAUAAAGUGCAGUAUGUAUACUGCUUUGCAUGUACCUUAUGAAUAUGGAUCGGCUAACUCCGUGCCAGCAGCCGCGGUAAUACGGAGGAUCCGAGCGUUAUCCGGAUUUAGUGGGUUUAAAGGGAGCGUAGGCGGGUUGUUAAGUCAGUUGUGAAAGUUUGGGGCUCAACCGUAAAAUUGCAGUUGAUACUGGCAGCCUGGAGUACAGGAGAGGUAGGCGGAAUUCGUGGUGUAGCGGUGAAAUGCUUAGAUAUCACGAAGAACUCCGAUUGCGAAGGCAGCCUGCUGGACUGUAACUGACGCUGAUGCUCGAAAGUGUGGGUAGCAAACAGGAUUAGAUACCCUUGUAGUC